GCAUCGGUGGUGCGCGGUGCACUUCGUCGAACUAUGCACUGUUUUCGCCCAUGUAUUAGACGGUUUGGGGUUCGAUUCCCCGCCGAUGCA